UUAGGAGUUUCCCAAAUCUUCACAAUCUAACAAAAAUUUACCAAAAAUUAAGAGUACAAAAAUUUAGGAGAAUUUUUGGUGAAUUAAUGCUCUUUACCAAAAACAUCCUCGCGUGGGCAGCCUGUAGAGAAUCACCUUUUAAUACCUUAACUUUUUAUUAUACCUUAACAAGAAUAUUCAUAAACCAUUCCAGCGUGCCAUGAGUAACCCCACUAAAUUCCCCACAUUUGCAGACAUUAAACAAAGCAAAAUGAAAGCUCAAACCCUUUUAGCAAAGCUGCACAUUUCAUGCCUACCUUUUGUCCUUCUCUGCCUCUCUUCUCAAUUCUUGCCAGAAAA
rnacentral:lncRNA from 1 species